rnacentral:snRNA from 1 species
AUCACUUCUUGGCCUUUUGACUAAGAUCAAGUGCAGCAUCUAUUAUUAUCGGUUUAAUGUCUGAUGCAUCUCUGGCUGGGGAUUAUGUAUUAAAUGGGUUUUUGGAACUAGAAGAUGGUUUAGCAGCUUGCUCCUUCCUUUCCACAAAGUGUCUCCAGGAACUCCUUGGAGGAAGAAGGAGA